GGGCCCGCACAAGCGGUGGAACAUGUGGUUCAAUUCGACGCUACGCGAGGAACCUUACCUGGGCUCGAAAUGCUUCGGACCAGCUGUAGAAAUACGGCCUUCCCGCAAGGGACCGGAGUAUAGGCGCUGCAUGGCUGUCGUCAGCUCGUGCCGUGAGGUGUUGGGUUAAGUCCCGCAACGAGCGCAACCCUUGCACACAGUUACUACUCGCAAGAGAGGACUCUGUGUGGACUGCUCCGGAUAACGGAGAGGAAGGUGGGGAUGACGUCAAGUCCGCAUGGCCUUUAUGUCCAGGGCUACACACGUGUUACAAUGCAGGGCACAAACCGUUGCCAACCCGUGAGGGGGAGCUAAUCGGAAAAAACUCUGCUCAGUUCGGAUUGCAGUCUGCAACUCGACUGCAUGAAGCCGGAAUCGCUAGUAAUGGCGUAUCAGAUCGACGCCGUGAAUACGUUCCCGGGCCUU
rnacentral:rRNA from 1 species